rnacentral:rRNA from 1 species
GAUGAACGCUGGCGGCGUGCUUAACACAUGCAAGUCGAACGGAAAGGCCCAAGCUUGCUUGGGUGCUCGAGUGGCGAACGGGUGAGUAACACGUGGGUGAUCUGCCCUGCACUUUGGGAUAGGCCUGGGAAACUGGGUCUAAUACCGGAUAGGACCAUCGUUUAGUGUCGGUGGUGGAAAGUUUUUCGGUGUGGGAUGAGCUCGCGGCCUAUCAGCUUGUUGGUGGGGUAAUGGCCUACCAAGGCGUCGACGGGUAGCCGGCCUGAGAGGGUGUACGGCCACAUUGGGACUGAGAUACGGCCCAGACUCCUACGGGAGGCAGCAGUGGGGAAUAUUGCACAAUGGGCGCAAGCCUGAUGCAGCGACGCCGCGUGGGGGAUGACGGCCUUCGGGUUGUAAACUCCUUUCGCCAAGGACGAAGCGUUUUGUGACGGUACUUGGAGAAGAAGCACCGGCUAACUACGUG